ensembl:lincRNA
AUUUGGGGUUGGAUUUUUAUUCAGACUUGGUCUCAAUUAUAAAAUGGUAGUUGACAUAAAUAAAUUUGCAAUUCCCCAUACUGGGGUGGGGGGAGAAAAAAGAAACCAUACUGGAAACAAAACGGAGUACAAAAUGUUGCAGAAGACAUUGCCAGCUCGAUGAAAGCACAUCUCAUUGCCAGAGAGAAAGAACAUGUCAAAAUGACCCCAAACCUGGAGCUAUAAAAACAUGCAGAAUAAAUGUACUUUUCUGUGUUUUAUUCUUGAAACUCUGUGUCAGAUGCUAGGAGUCCACAGUGAUCAAUCAGUGAUGCCUCCCCAUUCUUAUGCUGUUGGGGUCCAGCUGGCUGGUCUGGGUUCCAGUGAAGUUACAAAACAGUCAAUUUCCCUCAAGACCUGCCUGAGACCAGCAGGGCUUUUCAGAGGUGAUAAGAAGCUUUUUUUUAUCUUCACUUCAUUCAGUCUCAUUCAAAGGUUGCUCAGGGCCUCUGUGUCUCCAGCUUGCCGCUGAAAGUGCUGCAUCUUUGAAGUGUACCUUGAGGUGCUUUGAGGUGCUGGUAUACCAUCUUAUAGAUAAGAAUACCAAGAUUGAGAGGUAUGAAAUGUGUCUGAGUUCAUAUGUGACAAUAGAGCCCUGAUAGAAACCUGGCAUUUUAUCUCUAAAGCCUACACUGCCUCCAAGUUUGUUAAAACCCAAACACGGUAAAGGUGAAGCUGAACUCUCUCCCAGAGGCCUUGGGCAAAGGAAUCAGGAGAGGAACACUAUCUAAGAUCAGCCCACUUGUUACUCAUAGCCCACCUUUCCUGAAGACUCAACAUCUUUUGCCCCUGUCUGAGUCUGCGUGGUCCACCUGCCUAAAGGAGCCAAGGAGUUAAUCCAGCCUAGCCAGUGCAUCAAGUUUCUCUCAAGCAAAGUCCUAAGAGCAGGGCCCUUCUUGGGCCUCUGUAUCCAACACUUUCCAAAAUAAAAGCCAGUCUUUGAGUACUGAACGCUGUUAAGCAUUUGCUCAUAUCCUUAGAAACAGCGUGUAUUUCUGAUGUCAUUCCCCUUUCACAGUUAAGAAAGCUGAGGAAUAAUGUAUUUAGUCACUUAAUUAAAAAGUGGCAGGAUGAGGCUUUGAACCCAGGCAGUCUUACUUUGGCAGGCCACACUUUGAACCACACCUCUGUCUUUCUUCCCCUUUGCUGCUGUGGAAUGUAGGGGGUAGUGGCUUUUGUUUAACCAAAAGUCACAUUGCUUUUGCUCCCAGCUCAGAGCCAGCUGUGGGAAUAGCCAGUUCAUUCUUCCAAGACCACAGCAUAGCAAGGCUAUGAGUCAUGGCCCUUACUCCACCAAACAUUAACUUUUCCACUUGAGUGGGCAUCACAUAGUCCAACUGGCUUCCGUUUCUAUGUUUCCCUUCUGUAGGAUGAGGAAAAAAAUGGGAAUAAUGAGUGGCCAGCUCAGGCCAAGGGACCUUACAACUGAGCCUAUAGAAAUGGUCUACUACACGUGAAUUCUUCCACAAGCAUUAAUCAACUUCUUCAUUUUCCCACCCAACAAAUAUUUUAAAACUGUUGGCAGGCAUUGGGCCGGACACUGUGAGAGAUACAAAAAUAUCCAUGACAUGGUUCCUGCCUUCAGGAGACAGACGUAUAACUAAGAGAGAAAGGAUUUCAGUCAGCACCACAGGGAUACAGAUGAAAAUGUAAACUCACAGGAAAGAAAGGGGUCUUCAAGCCUUGGUACCAUGAAGGGCUCACACUGGGAGCAGGGGCAGAGCUGGGGAUUGAAUGACCAGAAGAAAUUGCAAAUGUGGAGCUGAGAAGAAAAGGCAGAGGCAAUGAGGCGGG